UUUUUUUUUUUUUUAAAGUUUUAUUUUUUAGGGCUGCACUCUUGGCAAAUGGAAGUUCCCAGACUAGCAAUCAAAUCAGAGCUGCAACUGCCAGCCUAUGCCACAGCCACAGCAAUGCUAGAUCUGAGCUGCGUCUGUGACCUACACCACAGUUUGUGGCAAUGCUGAAUACUUAACUCACUGAGCGAGGCCAGGGAUCCAACCUGCAUCCUCGUGGAUACUAGUUGGGAUCUUAACCCACUGAGCCACAACAGGAACUCUCUGGUUUGAAUUCUUUAUACAUUUCUCUUGUGUAUUACUGUUGAUUUUUUAAAAACAGCUUUUUUGAGGUAUAAUUAACAUACAAAACAACUGGACAAGUUUACUGUAUGUAAUUUAAUGAGUUUGGAGAUUUGCAUACAUCCAUAAAAACAUCACAACAAUUAAGGCAAUAAAAUGUCUAUUAUCCUUCGAAGUUUCCUUCUGCUCUUGCUUUUUUGUGUGUGGAGAACAUGAGCAUGAGUAUCUGCUUUUCCUUAAACCACACUUUCUCCAAGUUAUCCUAACUUUCCUGUACAUCCCUACCCUUAUCAAAUCAAGGUAGAUAAAAUUCCAUUAUAUUAUAUAGAAUAAUAGCUACCCACCUACCUAUCAAUCUACCUAUGAAAAUAACAAUAAUAAGUACGUGCUCAAAUAUCUGCCUCUUUUAAAUAAGACUCAAUACACUGAAAUUUGAUCAUUACUAAGUGUUUCAAUGGUACAUUACUAUUCAUUUAUUCACCCUUAUAGUCAUCAAACAUUUAUUCAGCACCUAUUAUGUGCUAAGUACCAUGCUAGGUUCUAUGGGUAAAAUGAAAGGUAUAAGAUAAAAGAAGUUCUUGUCCUUGAUGUAUUUUACUGAAACAAAAUGUUAUCUGUAGAAAAAUAUCUUUUGAAAUGGAAACUCGUUUCUUUAGCCUGGUCACUCUCUUUUACCAAGCAAGUUAUCAAUUGGCCACUGUCAAGCAAAGCUCACGGUACUCUCCUUUGUAGUAUUCACCAUCAUGCCCUUAAGAAUCUGCCUUUGAUUCUACUUUCUCCAACCUUCCAUAUUCCUUGUUUCCAUCUCCUUUUUCCUCUGAGUCACUCCUUCAUAGAUUUUCAGUAGAGACAAUGAGAAUUACCAGCCUUGAAUUUCUGGAUUCUCAUGCUAGAUCCCUUAUCCCUCCCUCCCAUCACCCAGAGUAGUAAUUUAAGUCUAAGUGGCACAACUUUCUUCCCCCCCUUUCCAUUUUUGUUUCUCCAUUUCUGUACAGUUCUGUGUGCCUUGCAAAGAAGAAGUUUAAGAUGAUACAAAAAUAAAAUUAUAGGGCAGAACAUACCACCUACUGUCAAAUUUCCUAUGAACUGGUAGUAAGGUUUUGCAGAGGAUUGCUUCUUAAUGACAUAAGAAAACACAUGCCUUGAGAUCUUUGACCAAUAUGGCUUUUCAGAUGUGCAGGUUUAUAGACUCUGAAGUCUUUAGAGCAUUAAUUCGCUUUCACCAACAAUUUCGGGUAUUGGACUGAUAAAAUUCUGAAUCAAUUUCUGCCUCUAGCCUCCACAAAGCAUACCUGUGAGGCAAGAGAACAAGGCUGGUACCCUAGCUCACUGCUGUUUCCUCCUAUUGUGAAUCAUUUAUGUUUAGUCACGUGACUGCCCCUUUUUUCCUCUUCUACUAAAGACCAGGGGAGAGAGGAAGGAAAAGAUCACUUUAUUAUUUAGUCACUCUUUUAAAAAGGUAAAAUAGGAGUUCCUAUAGUGGAUCAGUGGAAACAAACACAACUAGUAUCCAUGAGAUGGUCGGUUUGAUCCUUGUCCUCGCUCAGUAGGUUAAGGAUCUUGCGUUGCCGUGAGCUGUGGUAUAGGUUACAGACAUGGCUUGGAUCUGGCGUUUCUGUGGCAUAGGUUAUUGCUGUGAUGUGGGUUCAAUCCCUGGCCUGGGAACUUUGGGCAUGGUGGAAAAAAAAGAGAGAGAGAGAGACAGACAGACAGACAGGUAGGCCAGUUUAAAGCCUUCGUAUUCCAAGUAUGGUCCACUGACUGACAUCAUCUUCAUUUCCUAAGAGUUUGUUAGGGAUGCACACUGUCAAGCCCCACCAAGAUGCACUGAGUCUGAAUCUCCAUUUUAACAAAGUCCCCAGUGACACAUAUACACAUUAAAAGUGAAACAAAGUUGAGACGCUCUGGCCUAGAAGGUGCCUCUUUCCACUGGUGAAGGACAAAGAAAGGAAGAGGCUUACAAACUGGGAUAAAGAAACCCUCCCUUGGAGACAAAUAAGGAGAAAAUGGUGGAAGGAAAAGAGGCAAGUUUGUGGUAUAUGUUUCCAUCUUAUAUCACUGUGCACGUGCGUGCAUGCACACGCACAAGCACACAUAUACACACACUCCUACCCCAAAUUUUUCAGCCCACUCUGGAUCUCAGCUGCUAGGAGUUACUCCCAAUUGAUUGCUAGGCAUAUAUAAUGUCUGCAUACUACAUGAGAUAUUUACAUCAUGUCCUAAGCAGCAGAAGAAUAAUCCUUAGCUUUUCUUCCUUAGCACAAGCAUCAGUUUUGAUAGUGGUCAUCUUCCUAACAUUGCCCUACCUGGCCAAGGGCUAGGAAGCUCCCUGAAAAAAGAUCUCUUUCUGAUUAUUUGAAGCAAGAAUCCAGCAGUGCUAUUCUUCAAGAAAUGGCACAGCUUUUUUUGAUCAUUUGGGCAUUCUUCAUUGGCUCCGGCAAACACAGGAUUGUUGAUUUGCGGGGUUAGAAGGAACUACAAAGGACCUGUUCAUUUUCUUUUCGGAUGCUGAAAUUCCUGCCACAAGACAGUGAGUCAUUGCCCAGCUUAUGCUUGGAUGAAAUAAAUGAAAGAAAAUUCAAAACUCAUACUCAUACACCAUUGAGCAUUCAGUGACAUGGCAGCUGCCUCGCUCAUUAUUUGAGAAUGCAACAUUCCACUGAUGACAUAUGACACCCUCUGCUCAGUCUGGUGUGCUUCUCUUAUAAACAGUUAAGCUUCAGAGUAGUGAUGCAGGAAGGGGGAAAAGUCCCCUCACCAACAAAUCCUUUUGCCUAAGUGAAAAAAUACAUAGUACUUAUAAAGAUGGUCGUUGGAACCCAGUGUGUGAAAGAUAUAUUUCUCAUACUAGGAACAACACCAAUAAGAAUAAUGGUAGUGGGAGUUCCCGUCGUGGUGCAGUGGUUAACGAAUCCGACUAGGAACCAUGAGGUUGUGGGUUCGAUCCCUGCCCUUGCUCAGUGGGUUAACGAUCUGGCGUUGCCGUGAGCUGUGGUGUAGGUCACAGAUGUGGCUCGGACAGCUCCAAUUCGACCCCUAUCCUGGGAAACUCCAUAUGCCGCGGGAGAGGCCCAAGAAAUGGCAAAAAAAAAAAAAAAAAAAAAAAAACCAAACAAAAACAAAAACCCAAGAAACAGUAGUAAUAAAAUAUUCUCUAAGACUUAGUAUUUUAGAGAAAACAAUAUUUGCUAUUAAUACUGUUAUUAUUAUUAUAUUACUGCUAAUAAUAAUGAUAGGUUACUUACUAAGAGACAGGGCCUUGGGUGUAACUAAGUAAGCAUGUUUAGAAAAGGCUCCCCUGAAGGCAUUUCUUCAUUUAAUGAAGGAGACUGACAGAUUUUCUCACAGCCUGCUGCCAGGUACCAAUUGAUUGCCUCUCUCUAAUAACCAUUUAAUUUGCUUUCCUGUACUAAUCAUGUCACGCAAAUUGUUGGCCUCUGCCCCUCGCUGAUAGAGUGGAUGGCAUUUCAAUAGGCCGAGUGGCACUCCCCUCCAGUCCCACCUCCCUGAGCCCUACACCCAGCCUCAGCCUUUUUC
rnacentral:lncRNA from 1 species